GAUGAACGCUAGCGGCAGGCCUAACACAUGCAAGUCGAGGGAGAAGCCCUUUCGGGGGCAGAAACCGGCGCACGGGUGCGUAACGCGUAUGCAACCUACCUUUCACAGGGGGAUAGCCCGAAGAAAUUUGGAUUAAUACCCCAUAAUAUUAUUGGAUGGCAUCAUUUGAUAAUUAAAACUGCGGUGGUGAAAGAUGGGCAUGCGUCCUAUUAGCUAGUUGGAGUGGUAACGGCACCCCAAGGCUACGAUAGGUAGGGGUCCUGAGAGGGAGAUCCCCCACACUGGUACUGAGACAGGGACCAGACUCCUACGGGAGGCAGAAGUGAGGAAUAUUGGUCAAUGGUCGGAAGACUGAACCAGCCAUGCCGCGUGCAGGAAGAAUGCCUUAUGGGUUGUAAACUGCUUUUAUAUGGGAAGAAUAAGGCGUACGUGUACGUUGAUGACGGUACCAUAUGAAUAAGCAUCGGCUAACUCCGUG
rnacentral:rRNA from 1 species